rnacentral:rRNA from 1 species
CAUGUGUAGCGGUGAAAUGCGUAGAUAUAUGGAGGAACACCAGUGGCGAAAGCGGCUCUCUGGUCUGUCACUGACGCUGAGGCUNGAAAGCGUGGGUAGCGAACAGGAUUAGAUACCCUGGUAGUCCACGCCGUAAACGAUGAGUGCUAGGUGUUAGGCCCUUUCCGGGGCUUAGUGCCGGAGCUAACGCAAUAAGCACUCCGCCUGGGGAGUACGACCGCAAGGUUGAAACUCAAAGGAAUUGACGGGGGCCCGCACAAGCGGUGGAGCAUGUGGUUUAAUUCGAAGCAACGCGAAGAACCUUACCAGGUCUUGACAUCCCGAUGCUAUUCUUAGAGAUAGGAAGUUACUUCGGUACAUCGGAGACAGGUGGUGCAUGGUUGUCGUCAGCUCGUGUCGUGAGAUGUUGGGUUAAGUCCCGCAACGAGCGCAACCCUUAUUGUUAGUUGCCAUCAUUAAGUUGGGCACUCUAGCGAGACUGCCGGUAAUAAACCGGAGGAAGGUGGGGAUGACGUCAAAUCAUCAUGCCCCUUAUGACCUGGGCUACACACGUGCUACAAUGGUCGGUACAACGAGUUGCGAGCCGGUGACGGCAAGCUAAUCUCUGAAAGCCGAUCUCAGUUCGGAUUGGAGGCUGCAACUCGCCUCCAUGAAGUCGGAAUCGCUAGUAAUCGCGGAUCAGCACGCCGCGGUGAAUACGUUCCCGGGCCUUGUACACACCGCCCGUCACACCACGAGAGUUUGUAACACCCGAAGUCGGUGAGGUANCCUUUUAGGG